GUUGUUUGUGUGAAGCGAAUUCUAUCUGUGUCGAAAGGUGUUGGGUAAAUGGCGUCUCGUGAGUGAUUGUAAAGGGGUAUUUUUGAAAUUUUAGUCUCCCGAGUAAGUGGUGGUAAAUUUAAAGAGUAAAUCCACCGAAUUUAUAAUACACCAGGGAAAACAAUCGGCAAUAUGUCUCGCUACAGAGAUUGGGAUUUGUCAUGCAAAGUGUUUGUGGGAAAUCUGGGAAGUAGCGCUUCCAAAUAUGAAAUUGAAUCCGCUUUCAGUAAGUAUGGGCGUCUUAGAGAUGUUUGGCUAGCAAGAAACCCACCUGGGUUUGCCUUUGUGCAGUUUGAAGACCCGAGAGACGCUGAAGAUGCUGUUCGGGGUCUCGACGGUAUUAGAAUGUGUGGCUCCCGCGUAAGGGUGGAGAUGUCAACAGGGAGAAGCCGAAGAAGUGCCGGUGGUGAUCGUCGUGGUCGUUCAAGAUCACGAACACCACGACGUCGUUCGUACAGCCGAUCCAGAUCCCGAAGUGCAUCACCGAGACGCUCUCGUGGAGAUUCACGAGACAGAAGAUAAACUAACAAAAAAAAAAAAAAAAUCAGUGAGCUGUAUCUGCAGGGAGUGCGCAAGAAUAUCACUUGGUCACACAUGGAAUAACAAAAUUCAUUCCAUGAUUCACAGUAGUUAGGCACAUGAUGUAAGCAGUGCGUCUGUUCACACGUGACAACUUCCACUGCUUCCUGCUCUGAAGGUUGAUCAAACUGCCAGGAUGAAGAGGCUUCGACAUACAUCUCCAACAGAAAAAGUGGACAACCCAUAGUAGUUGCUUUUACCAGGAGGCAUGUGUCGUUCACUGAAAGCAAAAAUCUUAUACAACAUUGUCAAACUUCAAUUUCUCAGAGCUUUGAAUACUAGGAAACUAACAGGCUGCACCAUGUGGCUCCUGUGGUGGCCCAUUCAACAAUAUUCCUCACAGUUUUGUAUGCAUCAUCGCAUCUCAGUUCAGAAUGUACACUUCCUCAGUUUACUCCAUAUAUGCUUUCUGGCAUCUCAUGAAGUAUGACUGUUACUGUAAAUGCAUGCUAAUACACAUUCCACAGCACUUGUUUUUUUGCCCAACAUAGUUGCCCCCACUCCUGUGUUCAAGUACUCAGGAGAUGAAGAUUUGCAAUGUUCUAAAUGUAAUUUGGUUUUCAGGUGUUAAAAGUUUGAUAUAUGCAUAUAUAUUGAUUUAUGCUCACCGACAUUAAAAUAAUUAAUGCAUAGUUAUGAAGCACAAACUUCUUUCUUCUUGGGGAAUGGUUUACUUUGAUUUUUGUGUUCACAAAGAAGUGCCAUUGUCUGUCUAAUAAUGAAAGUAUAAAGAAGUUGGUACAUUGUAAUACCAGCAACCCAGUAAAUGUUAAUUAAACUGAGUGUCUAAGGAUAAUUGUUCAUGGUUAUUGUUUCAGUGAAGUUCUUUUCAUGAAUAUGUAUGCCAAUUUUGUAUCCCACUAGCUGUGUAAUAAGUAGGUAGUACUGUUGCUGUUACUAAGUAAUAGUAUACAAAAUCAAUACAGUGUCUCUAGGUUAUAUAAAAGUGUUUAUUAAUAAUAUACUGGGCUAUUCACUGCAAAACUUAAUUGCAUCUCUACCAUCAGGGAUUAAUUUUCAGGGAUGGACAUGAAAUUACUAUAUUUACUGUCUGCUGAAGCCGUGUUUGUUCUGUUGCUUUUAAAGUGUGACUUUGUUCUUCAUGGAACAGAAUUGUUAUAAUUUCUGAUUUCUGUGCUCAUAUCUGGGAUGCAGAAUGUCUCUUCCACCUGGCACCCUGUUUGAUCCAUUUAUAAUUUCUCUUAAUUGUGAAAAGUCUUUAUACUAAGUAUCUGUAACUUGUUUGAAAUCCAUGUCAAAGUUUCGAAAAUAAAGAUUGAACGAAAAGAUUUAUUGGAUCUUCUUAAA